rnacentral:misc_RNA from 1 species
AGCAGCCGCGGUAAUUCCAGCUCCAAUAGCGUAUAUUAAAGUUGUUGCAGUUAAAAAGCUCGUAGUUGAAUUUCGGGGUCAGUAGGCUGGUCGUGCCACAGGUAUGUACUGGUCUCACUGAUUCCUCCUUCCUGAUGAACCGUAAUGCCAUUAAUUUGGUGUUGCGGGGAAUCUGGACUGUUACUUUGAAAAAAUUAGAGUGUUUAAAGCAGGCUAACGCUUGAAUACAUUAGCAUGGAAUAAUGAAAUAGGACGAUCGAUCCUAUUUUGUUGGUUUCUAGGAUUGACGUAAUGAUUAAUAGGGAUAGUUGGGGGCAUUAGUAUUCAAUUGUCAGAGGUGAAAUUCUUGGAUUUAUUGAAGACUAACUACUGCGAAAGCAUUUGCCAAGGAUGUUUUCAUUAAUCAAGAACGAAAGUUAGGGGAUCGAAGACGAUCAGAUACCGUCGUAGUCUUAACCAUAAACUAUGCCGACUAGGGAUCGGAUGAUGUUAAUUUUUAAUGUACUCAUUC